AGGGACUUUCAGGGGCAGCUGUGUUUUACUAACCCAGUCAUAAUGCCCCUAAAAAUCCUUAU
rnacentral:pre_miRNA from 6 species